rnacentral:rRNA from 1 species
AUUGAACGCUGGCGGCAGGCCUAACACAUGCCAGUCGAGCGAGCGGCGGACGGGGGAGUAAUGUCUGUGAAACUGCCUGAUGGAGGGGGAUAACUACUGGAAACGGUAGCUAAUACCGCAUACCAUCAGAUGUGCCCAGAUGGGAUUAGCUAGUAGGUGGGGUAACGGCUACCCUAGGCGACGAGCCCUAGCUGGUCUGAGAGUAUUACCAGCCAAGCUGGAAUGAGGACACGUUCCAGUCUCCUACGGUAGGCAGCAGUGGGGAUUAUUGCACAUUGGGCGCAAGCCUGAUGCAGCCAUGCCGAGUGUGUGACGAAGGCCUUCGGGUUGUAAAGCACUUUCAGCGUGGAGGCGUUACCCGCAGAAGAAGCACCGGCUAACUCCGUGCCAGCGGCCGCGGUAAUAC